rnacentral:rRNA from 1 species
UACGAAGGGUGCAAGCGUUGUUCGGAAUUACUGGGCGUAAAGCGCGCGUAGGUGGUUUGAUAAGUUGGGAGUGAAAUCCCGGGGCUCAACUCCGGAAUUGCUUUCAAGACUGUCAAGCUAGAGUAUAGUAGGGAACAGUGGAAUUCCUAGUGUAGAGAUGAAAUUCGUAGAUAUUAGGAGGAACACCAGUGGCGAAAGCGACUGUCUGGACUAUUACUGACACUGAGGCGCGAAAGCGUGGGGAGCAAACAGG